rnacentral:rRNA from 1 species
UACGUAGGUGGCGAGCGUUGUCCGGAUUUACUGGGCGUAAAGGGAGCGUAGGCGGACUUUUAAGUGAGAUGUGAAAUACCCGGGCUCAACUUGGGUGCUGCAUUUCAAACUGGAAGUCUAGAGUGCAGGAGAGGAAAGCGGAAUUCCUAGUGUAGCGGUGAAAUGCGUAGAGAUUAGGAAGAACACUAGUGGCGAAGGCGGCUUUCUGGACUGUAACUGACGCUGAGGCUCGAAAGCGUGGGGAGCAAACAGG